GAUAGUGCAGCCCUAAGUGGGUGGUAAACUCCAUCUAAGGCUAAAUAUGACCACGAGACCGAUAGCGAACAAGUACCGUGAGGGAAAGUUGAAAAGCACUUUGAAGAGAGAGUUCAAGAGUACGUGAAACCGUUUAGGGGUAAACCUGAGAAACCCGAAAGGUCGAAGGGAGAAAUUCAUUCGCGUUUCGCAGUCGGCGUGAGGCGAUCGAGUGACGGAAUGCGUCUUCGGAUGUUUUCUGCACCUUUUGUUUUUCGAUCCGAUAGCGAACGCGUGCACUUUUCUCCUGGUAGGACGUCGCGAUCCGUUGGGUGUCGGUCUACGGCUCACGGUGGAGCCCGGAUGUACGGCUUGCCGUCACGUCCGGACCCGUGUGUCCCGGCUGACUCGCUCGACGGUAUACGAAAGGUUUAAGGCCGCUCUCGCGAGCGUUCGGCUCGUCGCAAGCGCGU
rnacentral:rRNA from 1 species